AUUGAACGCUGGCGGCAGGCCUAACACAUGCAAGUCGAGCGGAUGAAGGGAGCUUGCUCCUGGAUUCAGCGGCGGACGGGUGAGUAAUGCCUAGGAAUCUGCCUGGUAGUGGGGGAUAACGUCCGGAAACGGGCGCUAAUACCGCAUACGUCCUGAGGGAGAAAGUGGGGGAUCUUCGGACCUCACGCUAUCAGAUGAGCCUAGGUCGGAUUAGCUAGUUGGUGGGGUAAAGGCCCACCAAGGCGACGAUCCGUAACUGGUCUGAGAGGAUGAUCAGUCACACUGGAACUGAGACACGGUCCAGACUCCUACGGGAGGCAGCAGUGGGGAAUAUUGGACAAUGGGCGAAAGCCUGAUCCAGCCAUGCCGCGUGUGUGAAGAAGGUCUUCGGAUUGUAAAGCACUUUAAGUUGGGAGGAAGGGCAGUAAGUUAAUACCUUGCUGUUUUGACGUUACCAACAGAAUAAGCACCGGCUAACUUCG
rnacentral:rRNA from 1 species